rnacentral:rRNA from 1 species
AUGAAGCUCCUAUGUUGGAACAUUAGGGGCUUGGGCCUCACUGGCCGGUGGAGACAGCUCAUCGAGUAUUUGUGACAAGAGGAGAUUAACAUCGUGGGCCUUUAGGAGACGAUACGCUAGGAGUUUUGUAUGCUUGAGCUCUAGGGGCUCUGUCGCCACCAGUUUGCCUGGCAGUGGUUGCCUGCUACGGGCCAAUCUGGUGGCAUUUUGCUUGGGGUCAGGGAGGAUGCCUUCUCGGUUGAGAAUAUGGACCGAGGGGAUUUCUUCCUGAGCAUGUCGAUCACAGACCGACGAGUCCACUUCAGUUGGGAGGUGAUUUUCGUCUAUGGUCUUGCAGAUCAUGGGCGCUCAGCCGCCUUCCUUACCGAGCUAAAAAAUAAGGUAGAGAGGUGCACCACUCUGGUGGUGGUGGUCGUGGACUUCAACCUCAUUAGGUGGGCUUCUAAUAAAAGCUCGCCUAAUGUUGAUCGGGUCCGCAUGCGUCUAUUCAACGAUUGCAUUGCGGACCUGCCGCUCCAUGAGAUAGCCCGCGUAGGGGCUAGGUUCACGUGUACGAAUAAGCAGGCGGACCCCAUCCGGGGUGUCUUGGCUCGGGUCUUUGUGUCGGCCCAGUGGGAAGUGAUGUUCCCACUUUUCUCUCUCAAAGCGGUCACUCGGAUUGGCUCCGACCAUACCACCUGCUUUUCUUGUUGGGGGAUGAGGCCCCCCUAG